AGGACCAAGCACAGAAAGAAUCUUCAGA
rnacentral:piRNA from 1 species